ensembl:lncRNA GMDS-DT GMDS divergent transcript
AGAGGAAGGAGGCCGCGGCUUCGCGUCCCGCCUCUCGCCUGGCUGGCCGUGGGGGGCCUGGACGCAGUGGCCUCCCGAAUCUCCCAGGACCCUAAUAUCGCCCGAGGAUGCUGGGAGGAACGCUGAGCCGACCUCUCCGUUAGGCUGAAGAUUGCACAAACCAUGCUAAUGGCCAGCAUGGAUGGAGGGAGCGUGUGAGAUGUGUGGGGCAGCGUGCUGCAUCUCAGCCAACUCCAGGAGCCAGUUGAUGUGAUGGACUACCUUAAUUGAUUUUUGAAUGUUGAGCCAGCCUUAUGCAUGUGGGAUAAACCCCUGUUGAUCAUGGUAUGUAUUUCAUUUUAUACAGUGUCAGCUUUAGUUUGCUGGAUUUUUAAAAUAUGAAAUCUCUUUUAUAAUUUCAUCAGGAUAUUGGAAUAAAAAAGAUGUAGAUGCAUAUAUUCAGUCAUUCCUUUUGAACCAGUUAUAUUUCUAAAAGCUUAACAAAAGUCUGGAGAAAUCUCUUUUAUGUUCUGAGGAGUUAAAAAUUAUAUUACAAGGAAGCAACAAGAGAAAAGACUUAUCCCCAAUUGUUCCUGGUGCCUAUUAUUGCUUAGUAAACCACCCCAAAACUUGGUGAUUUAAACAACAAUGGUCAUUUAUGUUGCCUGUUAAUUGCAAUCUGGGCAGGGCUCUGCAGGGAAGGCUCAUCUCUGCCUCACAGGGACAUUCAGUGGCUGGAAGGUCCACCUCCAGGCUAGCUAACACACAGUUGGCAAGUCGGUACUCACUGCCUCUGUGUGGGAGCUCAGCCACAGCUCAGAGCUAGGCAUUCUCACAGCACAAUGGCUGGUUCCCAAGGCCAAGUAUCCUGAGAGAGAGCUAGGUAGAUGUUGUAUUGCCUUCAGCUGUACUUUGUUAGUCAAGGCAGUUGCAAAGUCAUGUGCAGGCUGAAGGGGAGGGAACAGAGACUCCAUGUGAGGACACAAGAAGAAGGCAGCCAUCUGCAAGCCAGAAAGUAAGGCCUCACCAGAAACCAAAUUUUCCAACACCUUAAUCUUGGACCUCUUGCCUUCAGAACUGUGAGAAAAUAAAUCCUGUUGUUCAAGCCAUGCAGCCUGUGGUACAUAGUCAUAGCAGCCAGAACACAUUAAGACAAACCCCGUUAGGCCUUGAAUGCUAAUGUCAGGCAAAGACCUAGCAUAUUAAGGCCGUUUUUAGACAGAGAGCUUUUUUGACUACCACAGUGGUAAAUGGAGCAUGCCAGUCAUGUAAAGAGGCCCAUAGGGUAGAAAUCCCUGCCAUUCUAGUAUUCUUACGACAAGCUGACUAUAUGCAGGCAGAACAAAGGGACAGAUGCCCCACUAGUGAUUAAGGAAACAAUGUGCCUUGGGGAGACGGGAAGGCUCUAGAAUGGUAUGAGCACCUUCAGAUGGAUAGGCUUGGAUUCUAGAAAUCCUUAUGUGGAUGGGUAGAGCCCAAAUGGCCAGCACCUCCACUCAUGCAUGAGACCAGUGCAUAAGAGAUACACAUCAUAGAGUUUUCAUCUGCUACUGGGGUCUGGCUCUUACACCUGUAUGAACAUGUGUAGAGCCUAGGUAGGACCAUCCUAUGAAUGAAUGUUCAGGAGUCACCCAUCCCCAUGAAUGGAAACUAGGACUGAUGGAACUAGGUAUUUCCUGAACACUCAAAGUGGAUCAACCUAAUAGUGAACAAAACCACAUCUGACAAGGAGAAGGCAUAGGGACUACCUAGUGUUAGGAAACAGUCCCCGAUUUCUGACUCAUCCUGCUAUAAGCCAACUUCUUUCCCACAAGACAGUACAGGACACAGCCUACAGGAGGAAAUAGAAGUCCUGAUCUUUCUCUUUCAGUAUCCUGUGCUGUCAGAGGUCACUUUAGCUAGGCUUAAAAACCAGAAGGAAAAGAAUUUCAGGAUGGCAAAGGGAUGGGCAUGGUAGUGGUAAGACGAUGAGGUGUGAGGGGCAGAGGAAUAAGAAAUUUAAUGGUUUUUAUUCAGACUUUAUUAUUUGGGCAUGAGCCAUUGGUGAUUAACUCAAUCUCCAGCCCCUUUGCCCUCCCUGAAGGUUGGGGAGGCAGGAAGUCCAUCCCUCUGAUCAUGCCUUGGUCUCCAUUCCCCAAACCCCAUCCUGAAGCUAUCUAGGGCCCCCAAUACCGAGUCAUUUCAUUAGAGAAGGACAUUCAUCACUCCAGAAAUUCCAAGGGUCUUAGAAGCUCUUGUGUUAGAAACUGGGGACUAAGACCAAAUAUUAUAACAAAAAGAUGUUCCCAGCAUUCCUAUCAUCCAGGCAGUUACAAAGGUUUUUGGAACUCUGUGUCAGGAAUCAGGAGCAGAGACCAGGUAUCUAUUUCUUGUCAUGUCCCACAAGAGGAUGCAGAAAAUCUGGGAUUGUAACUGUUGAUGGUUAUGUAAUCUCAGGAAACUUCUUUGUCCUCCAUUGCUUCACAAUUAAAUGGGGCAGAUAUGCCUCCCCUCUCUCACUCUAUUUCCUGAGCACACAUUCCAGAAUCUCAGCAAACUCUAGAGACAAAGACACAGCCCUGGCCCCCAGGGAGCAAGGUCUUAGGGUGCUGGAGAAAAUUAUCGUUUUUGUUCCCUUCCAAUAGUGAAAUCUAUGAUCAUUAAAAAAAUACAGUAUACCUCCUAAUUAAGCCAAGUUUCCCUUCUCAUUUUAGUUAUCAGGAAUUUAAAUCAAUCAAGGCAUAAAUUGGACCAAACAUUAUUACCACUGUUCAUUGAUAUCCUUAACUAAGAACGUUACUGAAACUUUCCCUUAAUACUUAUUAUAUAUCUUCCAAGUCAAUCCUGAGAAAAUCCAUAAAGCUCAUCUCAGGGCGAAAGCUUGUACAUUUAAGUAACAGGAUUCCAAAUAAACAAUAUUGCUGAGUUAACUAAAAAUACAUUAACUAAAAAUAAAUCUCAUCUAAAAUAUUAAAAAUGGAUAUUUUUAAAAUGCUUUUUAUUUUUUAAGUGUUCCUGGUUAAAUGUGGC